GAUGAAGAACGUAGCGAAAUGCGAUAAGUAAUGUGAAUUGCAGAAUUCAUUGAAUCAUCGAAUCUUUGAACGCACAUUGCGCCCGUCAGUAUUCUGGCGGGCAUGCCUGUUCGAGCGUCAUUACGCCCCUCAAGUCCCCUGUGGACUUGGUGUUGGGGAUCGGCGAGGCUGGUUUUCCAGCACAGCCGUCCCUUAAAUUAAUUGGCGGUCUCGCCGUGGCCCUCCUCUGCGCAGUAGUAAAACACUCGCAACAGGAGCCCGGCGCGGUCCACUGCCGUAAAACCCCCCAACUUUUUAUAGUUGACCUCGAAUCAGGUAGGACUACCCGCUGAACUUAAGCAUAUCAAUAAGCGGAGGA
rnacentral:misc_RNA from 1 species